rnacentral:rRNA from 1 species
GAUGAACGCUGACAGAAUGCUUAACACAUGCAAGUCUUUGGCGAAUCUGUGCUUGCACAGGCUAGCCAAGGCGGACGGGUGAGUAACGCGUAAAGAACUUGCCCUGCAGACAGGGAUAACAGACGGAAACGACUGAUAACACCUGAUACAGUUGCCGGCACGCAUGUGCCUGGCAAUGAAAAGAGAUGCUGCAGGAGAGCUUUGCGUCCUAUUAGCUUGUUGGUGAGGUGACGGCUCACCAAGGCGAUGAUAGGUAGCCGGCCUGAGAGGGUGAACGGCCACAAGGGGACUGAGAUACGGCCCUUACUCCUACGGGAGGCAGCAGUGGGGAAUAUUGGACAAUGGGGGCAACCCUGAUCCAGCAAUUCUGUGUGCACGAAGAGGGUUUUCGGAGUGUAAAGUGCUUUCAGCAGGGAAGAAGAAAGUGACGGUACCUGCAGAAGAAGCGACGGCUAAAUACGUG